rnacentral:rRNA from 1 species
UGUGCCUACGGGACGCAGCAGUGGGGAAUAUUGCACAAUGGGGGAAACCCUGACGCAGCGACGCCGCGUGAGUGAAGAAGUAAUUCGUUAUGUAAAGCUCUAUCAGCAGGGAAGAAAAUGACGGUACCUGAAGAAGAAGCCCCGGCUAACUACGUGCCAGCAGCCGCGGUAAUACGUAGGGGGCAAGCGUUAUCCGGAUUUACUGGGUGUAAAGGGGGCGCAGACGGCGAUGCAAGCCAGGAGUGAAAGCCCGGGGCCCAACCCCGGGACUGCUCUUGGAACUGCGUGGCUGGAGUGCAGGAGGG